UCCACCCCCAGUCGCGGCUGCCUCCCAAGAGAGACCACAGACCCUGCCCAGGGAGGUGCCCCGGGCUCCGGGUGUCUGCGCUGUGUGGAAUGAGAGUGCUGGGCCGGGUGUGGCUCCACACCUGGACCCUGUGUCCUGGCCAGCCUCCCACGAGUUGGCCCUCCCUGGCUAUCCUCCUGGGGCCCAGCCUCUCCUGUGGCCAGGACUCGGGCGGUCACGCCCACCCUCCCCACGCCAAAUUCAUCCUUGUAGGUUUGGAAUCUUCGCCAGCCGUCCCUCCCCAAGGGCAGCUCUGAGCGCCAGCGCAGCCCCACCCACUCGGCUCCUUCUGCUGCCCUUACCUCUCUCUGGGCACUGCUCCUCCCGGCUGCCAUCUCCCGGAGACUCUGGCUCAGAGCUGCGGCCUGUGUCUGGUGGGAGGAGAUGGCCUCCUCAAACUGGGCCUGAAGGGCCUGUAGCUCCUCUGUCCUGGUGCUGAGGGUGGCCUGGGGAAGCAGGGACACACCACACAUCAGGGAGGCCAGUCUGAGGGGACCCAGGCCCGUCUGCAUGGGCUGAGGAGGCCAGAACAUCGUUAGAGAUGCUCUUCCCGGGAAGGGGGUGCCGCUCUGCUGCUUCCUCCCUGGACUGUCCAGUGGCAGGUGGAGGGGACACCCACUGUCUCUGCCAGCUGCCAGCGUGAAGCACUCAGCCUUGCCUGCCCUUGGAUGCCACCCUGCCUAGGCAGCUCUGGCACCACUUGGGACCCAGCCUAGCCCAAACUGUCCUCCUGUCCCACACCUGCUCUCCUGUCCAGUGAGGACGCUCCCCACCUACCCUGGGCCACAGUGUCCUCACAUGGGGGUUCUUCCCCAGGCCACAGUAUCUGUGGCCUACUAGCAGCAGCUGGGCAGAGGAGGGCAGCUGAGGGGACACGGGGUGCCAGGGAGGCACAGGGGCUGUGUGGGUGCCCCCGUCCUGCAGGCCGCUGCCUGGGGCACGGCUGUGGGCUUCCACCGGCUCUGGCAGCAGCACAGCAGGCUCUUCUGCCCCCGCUGCCUCCUGGACGGACGCGUCGCCUUGGACAGCUGGACAUGGGCUUCGUGCCCUGGCGCGGCCCCAGAACUGCUUGUUCAGUGAGGCUGGAGGACACCUUGGGACCUUGGGGACAGGUUCUGGCCGAGAGCCCUGAGGUGGCCAUGACAGGCCGCAGGCCCCUGUGCCCUGGUGGCUCCUGACCAUGUCACCCCAGCUGUUCCUUGGCUGCGUUUCCACUCCCACUCCUCUCAGAGGGUUUGAUUCCUGAUUUUGGAGCUGAGGUGGUAAAAGAGCCCCAAGGAGCUCCCCGAGGAGCUCACUGGCCGGCAGGUCCAUCCUGGGUCCAGGGGAGACCCAGCCACACAAAUGCUCCAGGAGCCAGCUCCCGGAGGCUCCCCUGAGAGCAGCAGGCGUCCCUCCCCGUCUCAGCGCUUUCUUGGUUCCCUGCCCACAGGGGGGCUGAGAGAGUAGCUGGGAAGGGCACAGCCCCAUCCUCCAGCCCGGGGACCCUCUCAGCCUGCCUCAGGAGAGGGACCCGGCCGAGGUGGCGGCUGGGAGCACGAAGUCUGGGGCCAGGCUGCCUUGGACUGCCCUGCCCAGAGUGACAUGGGGUCUGGUCUGGGUGUCAGGGGAGGGCCAGGCAGCCCCUGGGCCCCCUCCUACCUGGAACACGAUUCCUGCGGCCCAGCGUCCCCUGGUCAGCCAGGAGUCCCCAUCCCCACGUCAGAACCAGCGAGCGCCCUCCCCCAGGCCUGCCACUCAUCACACCUGCUCCCACCCCACCUCACACCUCCCAGGCAGGCAGCACAGGUGGGUGGCCUCGGGGGCAGUGUGGUGGCCGGGACCCCAGUGGGUGAGCCUCUGCAGCCCCUGGGUCCCAGCUGGGCCUCCCAGCGCACAGCAAGGCCAGGCUGGUUGGUGUGGCUGCAGACGGCCACAGGCCUGGGGGCAGCCCUCCCCCUCGUCCCUGGCCAGGCCUCCCCUCUGGGCCCCCGCUGGUUCUGAGGGCUGGGAGCCCUGGGCAAGUGGGGUCCGAGCACCCGGACCUGCCCAGGCAGGGACUAGAGCGCAGCCUGGGCUUCCUGCCACCAGACUCUCUCCUCCCUGGCGCAGGAAGCCCCAGGCAGCGGCCAUGCUCCUGGGACAGGAGGAAAGAGACAGGGCCUGGACACAGGGUGCUCAUGAGAGGGCUGGAGAGCUGGGGCUGGGCCUCCUCACAGGACAGGCCAGCAGAGCGGCGAGGACCAGAGACCCUGCCUCCACCCCUGCUGCCGAGGAGGGCGGCCUGGGGCCUGGGCCUGGGCCCUGCGCCCGGAGCUUUCCCUCUGCCCCAGGCCCUCCUACCUGGCACUGCCCUCAGACAGUCCUCUUGGGGUGCCCCUGUCCUUAUCUGCCUAGGUCCUGCUCUCUCCCAGUGCAGACCAGAACUCCACGACCCCGAAUCCCUGCAGACUGUGGUCCCACAGUGCACACAAAGGAGCCUCCAAUGGCCCUGGAGCACCCCAGAUGCCCAUCUCACUAACGGUGAGAGGAGGGUAGGCGGCUGGACCCAGAGAGGCCAAGUUUGUCCCCAUGCCAAGGGGGACGGGCUGCUCCACCAGCAACCCGUGGACAGUGGAAGGAAUGGCCAUGCCCGUCAACACCACAAGCGCUGAUUCCCUCCCUGCCCAAGCCCACUGGGGAAGGGAGGCCUAGAGACGCCGUCCAUGUGCAGGACAUCCAGCUCAGCUCUCUUCUGUCACUGUUUAUGACACUGAAAGCAACGAGCAGGAGGUGACCUCGGUGUGAGCCACAAGAGGCCCGUGCCUGGUGGCCUCGCGCCCAAGAGAACAUCACAGCAGUGGAGAAGCCUCACGAAGCCCCGACUGCCGUGCAGAGGCCCCGGGGCCCGGGAUCAGGAGGCCCCGAGAGCAGGUGGGCUCCAUACCUCCGCAGUAGAGGUGCCGGAGGGCACGUGGGGCUGAGCCCCCCGUCCAGUAGAAACCGUCCAAGAAACCAUCCGUGGAGUUGGCACUGGGGUCUCUCCCCAGGCCAGUGCUGUGUGGCCCAGUCCUCCGACUUGAGCCGGGCAGAGGCAGGAAAGCCCCACUGUUAGGUGAGGGUGGGUUUGGCAGGAUGUGCCCCAGGCUCGUUGAGGAGUGCCCGCGGGGUUGCGUGAGCAGCCUCAGGGAGGGGGUGCUUCCUAAACCCUCUCCUGGUCUCCUCCGGAGUCCCCGGCAGGAGCCUCUUCAUCUGGGAAAUGGCCAUGUCGUCACUGUCACUCAUGCUGGCCCUGGGAGCACAUCUGAGACUGUGCCAACGAGCUGCCACGUGGUGGCCUUCUGCCCAGUUUCAGGUGGUUAGAGGGAGACUUGGAGCCCUGGUGUCAGCUCCUGGUCUCUAGGAGGAGGACGGGACACCGACUUUAACCGGGUGGACAAUCAUUCUAUUGAUGGUGAAACCCUGGAUGGACGCUGAGUGGCCUCCAGGAUGGUGACAGCAGAGACUCCAGGGCUGCAGGCCCGGCCUGCCUGGACCCCAGCCCCACGUCUCUUGUCUCCCUGUGCAGCCUUCUCGAGACUCGCGGGGUCAGGCCACGCUUUCUGGGGUCCCAGGCGGUGGUCUCUGGGUCCUGGCUCGAGGGGCUGGUGGGAACCCCACACUGGCAGUUGCUGGCACAGGUCCAGGUGGCCUUGAGAUGGCGACAUCUGAGAUGAGGCAGUGGCAUGGGGACUGGGCCCCUAAAUUGUGGGGUCUGAGCUGGCCCAGCACUGCAGGGGACACCAGGAAACAAGUCCCGAGGAGCCGGCAGUGUGGCAGGGACGGCCUCGUAUCUGGGAUGAUCUUGGAAGUGAAGGCCCCCUGCUUGCCCUCUCCCUCCCUGGAGCCUCGUUCAUUCCAGUCAGGGCCAGGGCUCUUCUGUCCCUCUUGAGACCCUCAUUAGUGGACACAGUAAGAAGGUGCCCGGUGAAAGUCUUAAAAGGAUCUGUUUACGGGCCAAACAGAACGGAGCAAGCCCCGCUCAGUCCAUGCAGCCAGGAGAGUGGGGAACGGAGGGGAAGCGUCCCUGUGCUGCUCCCCGCUGCAUGCGUCUCUGACUCUGGUCCACCUGGAGCCCCCUCAGGGGCUGGUGACCUGCCCCCUCCUGCUCUCCCUGCUUAGCUGUCUCUGUAUGGGUGGCCGCAUAUGUAGGGCAGCUCCCAGGUGCAUGUGAUUUGGGCAGUGCUGCCUGGUGGGUGGUGUCGGAGGAAUGAGGCCACACAGGGCCUGGGUCACUUGGCCUCUCUGGGCCUCUUUCCUCCCAUGGCACAGGUAACACCACUGCAUCCCCAGGGCCUCUGGACCUGCCCUUCUUUGGCUAGCCCUGCCCAGCCCUGGCCUCUCCCAUCUUCCCUGGUCUCAGUCUCUCUUCCCCACCCCGUCACGACACCCCUACUCAGAACGGCCACUGCUCCCCAUCACCCACACCUGCUGUGAGACACCCUUGGUGACAACCCUGUAUCCCCACUGGCUUCCGGGCCUGCCACAGCCUGGUGGCUGUGACCCUCCUUGACCUCCCCAGGCUCCCGUUCCUCCUCCCAGGCCACUGCAGGAUGCAGGGUGGUGGCUGCUAGGAGCAGGGACGGCCGCACCCACCAGGCGAGUUGCCAGCCCCCGCCAAGGGAUUCCAGUAAAGUGGGCUCAAAAGAGUGCGUCCCCCAGCACAGAGCAUCAAACUAGAAAGGCAGUGGGACAAUAAGACUGGCUGUUUUAGUCACCAACCCCACAGCUGUACUGCGGGCCAGCAGCUGGUCCUCGUCAGGCGGUGGCAGCCCACGGGGUUGUCUACCUGUCUUCCCAUAUUCUCUCCACAGCGAACCCUUCAGGGUGGCCUGUGCCCUGGAGAAGCCUGCACUCACCCCUCAGACCCAAUGGGGUCUCAGCCUCUGGGGGACGGAUGGCCAGUGAGUGGUGAUGGUUGUCUACCUGCACUGGGGGUCAGACUGAAUACCCUGAUGCACAACUGGACGACUGGCUGAGCAGAUGGAUGGAUAGGGUCUGCACUUCCUGCUCCAGGGUCUGCACUUCCUGCUCCAGGGUCUCCCUGGUGGCCGCACUCGUUGCCAGUAGCUCCCUCUCCUGCUGCAGCCUGUGAACAGCCAACUUCUUCUCCUCUGCCAGGGAGAGAACGAGGGCCUCCUAUGGAGACAAAGGACAGGUGGCCAGGUCAGGCCAGGAGACCAGCAGGCACUGUGGUCCUGUGUGAGGCCCAAGGCCCUGCAUACCAGGGCUGGACAACCUGGCCAGCUGCCCUCCCCUUGUCUCCAAGACCCCACAGGAGCUGGGAAGACUCUUCAGGUCUCAGCGCCACUGUCACACAUUCUUCCAACAGUUCCUGCGCCUCACCUGAACCCCUACCCAGUGCCACUGAUGGACACAGGCAUAAAGUCCUGUCAAACAUAGCCUCUGGGCCCGCGGACAGCUCAGGUGGAACAAGGCUUCCUCCAGCUCCCGGCUGACUGGUGGGCCCAGCCCCUUCUGCAGAGGGAGCCGGCUCUGCACACCCACCUGCUCCAGCCCAGGGGCUCGCUGGGCGGGCUGGUGCCACUGCUUGAACGUGAUGGGCCAGCUGCAGGUCCUGCUCCUGCUGCGUCACCAGCCACUGCAGCCGCCCUACCUCCCGUUGCAGCUUUGCCUCCUGGACCGUCCAGUCCCUGUUCAGUCUGUCCAUUUCCACUGCAAAGCCACAGCUGUUCCUGCUGGACCUGCAGCUGCUUGGCCCGUUGCUGGGCUUCAAAGAGGCUGCUCUCCAGAGAGUCCCUCUCCAGCCUGCAGAGAAGCAUCAGGCGCAUCACCCAGGAGCUCCUGCCAAUGAGGAGUGGCUCUGAGCCAAGGCCAGGCCAGCAGAUCAGAAGACCAACAGGGCUCCUUCAUUUCAAGUUUCUAAGAAUGAAUUGGACCCUAACAAAACUGUUUCAGGUGGAAUAAAAAGUCAAAUGCAGAGACAAAGAACAUUUACUAAGUCACAGCAGAACAACUCAGAACCAAAAAAAUGGUAGAAAAACCUCAAGGGUACUUUGAAUUCUUCUUAAGCAAGACCUGAAAACCAGAAGGGAAAGAAAGUCCAGCAGCUCUGAAGAGAGGGACGGGGAGUAUUCCUGCAGAAAAGAGUUCAUAAAUCAACUUAAAAGACGGGGAACAGAUUGGAAGGAAAUCUGCACUAAAUGUAUAAAGGAUUAGCAUCCAUCACAUGCAAAGAACUCCUACCAAUCAACGAAAAUCUGCUGGUCCUAUUUAAAAAAUGAGAAAAAAUGACUGUUAAACACAAAGAAAAUACAAAUGGCUAAAAACAUGAAACUUGCUAGACCUCAUAAAUGCCAGGGAAUUUGAACCACAGUCGGUGUUAUCGAUCACUUAUCAGAUUAGCAGAAGCUCAACAGUGACAGCACUGCGCGUCGGCAAGGCCGGGGGCUCUAACGCGCGUCACGUGGGCUGCAGUUCCACCCACAGGUGCCCAUUUUACAGAAACACGGACGUGCUGACCACACACAUGACCGUGCUCACUGGGGCUUUCCCAGGGUCCUCACUGGGGAAAUGGGAGGGUCUUAGAAGUCACAGACUCUGCCCACGGUGCAGCCGUCAACAAGGGCAAGAAGACAAGUUUCUAUUCUCUCCUGGCAAAGAGUCACCCCCAGCAACCCGCCACACUGGAACUUCACACGCAGUGUGAUGGCGUGUGCUCGGCCUAUGCACACAGAUUGCACGGUUGCACAUGCUCAGAACACGGGAAAGCCUGAGUUACUGGCAUUUCAUCAGUGACCAACCCGCCCCCCCACAUGCCAUGUGCAUUUAUGGUGAAAACACAACCCAACAACACACACCAACACAAACGCUCAAAGCACACAAUCCGGAAGUGCCCAGAACCCCUCAGCUGGUGACACAGGCAAAGCUCUCUUCCCGUCCGUCCGCCUCAACCUGCCUCCUCCAUGACUUGCACCUGGCUUCUACCAGAGGUGUGGCCUGGGAGUCUGCCCCUGCGAGUCCGGCCCAAGAGCACCUCCUCCGUAGCUGGGCCCCAGGAGCAGAGGCCCCACAUGCCGCAGGGUGGAGUGGCCAGGGCCAGCGGCCUGGGGAGCAGGUGGGAACCUGUCCAUUCCCCUUUGUACAGCAGACCUGUGCGUCUGUGGGGUCCUCAGAGCCGGGGGCUGCCGCAGGAUGCCUGCACCCGCCAUCAGGAUUAUCUGAAGCUCACCAGCACGCAGCCCAGAGCCAGCAGAGAAGCGGAGAGAGGGGGACAGAUGUGCUCUGGUUGAGUCCCCACUGGGCUAGUGGCUUUCUGGGCUGGGGGGCUGCUGUGUGCAGUGGCCCUGGGUUCAGUGGUCAGGGCUGAGAGCAGGGGCCAUGGGACAAGAUCCUGGCCAUGGAGGGCUCUAACCAGGGUUGUGUUUGGGGAACAGACAUUCCCAGGGCCAAGGAGCCAGCAAGGGCAGACCUCGGGCCUGUGCUCCCGCUGGCUCUGGGCGGCCUUCCCAGGCGUCUGCUCUGAUGGCAUUUGCAGGAGAGGUUUUUCCACGAAGAGGUUUGAGGACCUGAGACUAAGGUUUCUUACACCUCCCAGAUUCUGGACCCCAGGAGGAAAUCUUCUAGACACUUAGGUGUUCCCAAGAAGAGCUCAGUGGUGGGGAAAGCCCGGCCGGCCCUGGGUCUUUGCAGAGGCCUUAGAACCAGUUCAGGCCAUGGGCAACACUCUAUGGCACCACCAAUCCUGCCCACAAGUGCCCAUUUCAACUUCUGGACAUUUCUCUUGACUUUGGUCUUUGGGGCUCCCCCCGACUCUUAGCCUUGUGUCUCCUGGGGUGCAGGAUGGGCUUUAGACCCAAGCCUGUACUCUGAGCCCUGUGGCUCCAGCUCCCAGGCUGCAGCAGGGAUGCCCAGAGGUUCAAGAUGGCUAGCGGCAGCACCUCAGGGACUUGUGGGGAGAAAGGUUUUUUGUCUGCCGGAGGAAGGCCCUGGUGAUUGCUGACCUUCUUUUGCCCUCUCCAGGUGAGCCCACCUAGCACUGAGGGAGGAAGGAGCAGGGUCCUGAGGACUGUGGGAAUGCCUGGAGCAGCCUUGUCUGAAGCUAGGUUCACUCGGAACUUCUCAGACCUGUGAGCAAGACAUUCCACACCUUCCUGCCAUUGGUCUGAGCCAGGUUUCUGCUACUUGACAGCUGUCUUGGGGAAGGUGACCCCAGGACUAUUCCUGGGUGUGCCUUGUAUAGAGACGCUGUGUGUCACCCCAAGGCACUCUUUCCCUCCCUCAAAGCCCACCUCCACACACACAGCAGACCUCCCUGUGCCUCCCACCACUCCCACCACCCUGCAGGUCUCUAGGGUCAGGGCCAUGGAGACUCGCUCUGACUGGCAGGCUCACAGGUACCUGAGGUCAGAUGCUUCCUCAGCUGACAGCUGCCCCUGCCUCUCCAGGGCCUCCUGCUUGGCCAGCAGCUGGACUCGCUCCUCAGUCAGAGCAGCCUUUGCCUUCAGGGCUUGCUGCAGAGUGUCCAUCUGGGUGUCCUGGUCCUGUAGGCUUUGUGCUAGCUGCUUCUCCAGGGCCUCUUUUCUGCAUGUGACCUGGGGGAGGGGGACAGUGCAGCAGAGAAAGAGAGUAAGUGGGUAGGUGCAGGGGCUGCUGAGGGAAAUGAAGGGCGUUGGAAGAAGAGACUUUCUUCAGACUGGCCCAGAGGCGAAAGUGGAGGUAGUGGGUAGACGUGGACGUGUUGAACCUCAGAGUGCACACGCACCUUUUAGAAUAGAGGGGCGCUCAACUCCCUGAAUCACAGCAGAGAUGCUGUUAAACUGGGCUCUUCCAGUGAGGACCCAGCUGCCAAACUUCAUUGGGCCACUAGUUUCUAGGGGGCAGGACACAUGGUGUGGACGUGUCAGUAGCAGUAACAGAGGAAGAGUGGUGCCGGCCAGUGGUUCCACAAGGGAAUCAAGAGGUUAAGACAAAGUGUGUCCCAGGAGAGAGCAGGGUUCAAAGGAGCCAAGCUCCUGAAGAGAAGGGAAACAGGAAUGAGCCCACCAUGUGCCAUCUCUUCUCUAUUCAAACCAUUUGCUGAUUUAAAGUCCAGGCUGAGAAACUGACAUGCCAGGGAACCAACCUCACGUCAUCUCAACAGACUCAAAGAAAGCAUUUAGCAGAAUUUAGAACUCCUAUUGAUUUUUAAAAAUCUCAGCCUACAGGAAUGAAAGGAAUAUUCCCAUCCAGCACAGGCCAGGUUUCAAGUCUUAUUCACAGAAGAGCUUGAUUCCAGUACUAGUGGUGAGUCAGAACUGGACUACCCUUCAAAACAACCUGUGUGCCUCCGUCACUGAUUGGAUGAUAGUGUUCAUUUCCUACUUUCAUUGCCUCUCAGAACCAAAGAUAAAGCCUUCAAAGAAUGGCAUUGUUAAUAACGUCAAAUUGUUUAUAAAACUUUGUAUUCAUGAUAUCUGGCAUUUAAUCAACAUGACCAGGCAUACUAGGAGACAGGACCACAUGACAAAUACAGCAACACACAUAAAAACAGAAAAUAGACUAGACACUCCCUCACCCCCACCAGCUCUCCAGAUAUCAGAGUUGUCAGACAUAGAAUUUAAAAUAGCUGACUAGUAUGUUCAAAAACCAGAUUGUAGGAUGUAGAACUGGAUACUAAGUAUGAAAAGUAUGAUUGUAAAAUACCAUGGCCAACAUUAAUAAAUAAUAGGUGAGUUCAAUGGCAGAUUAGACAAGGUAGAAGAAACAAUGAAUUAUCAGGAAGAUAGGCCAAAGAAUACUCUGAGUGAACCAUGAAGAGAAAAAGGAUAGAAAACACUAUAAUAGAAGACCAGGAGAAAGGCCCACCAUGUGUGUAAUUGGUCAGAUUCCAAUUCCUUUUUUUCCCCCAGAUACCAGUUCUGACAAAGACAUUACAAGAAAAGAAAAUACAGACUAAUAUUCUCCAUGAAGGUACAAGCAAAAAUUCUUAGCAAAACAUAAAUUGAAUCUAAAAAUAUAUAAAAUGAAUAUUAACUCAUGACCCAUUAGCAUUAUCUCACAUAUGCAAUGUAGGUUUAGAAUUCAAAAUAGUAAUGAAUAUAAUUUAUCCAAUUAACAAAAUAAGGACAGCAAUGAUGUCAUCUCAACAGACUCGAAGAAAGCAUUUAGGAGAAUUUAGAACUCCUAUUGAUUUUUAAAAAUCUCAGCCUACAGGAAUGAAAGGGAAUAUUUCCAAUCUGAUAAAAGGCAUCUAUAAAAGGCAUAUAAAUAGCAUCAUAGCUAAUAUUAAAAUAUUGUAUCAUUUCUGCGUGACUGAGUUUAGUGGAAGGAUGAUCACUCACCAUUUCCAUUCAACUUUGUUCCACAGGUCUUAUUGUAUAAGAGAAGGAAAAAGAAAAGAUAUUGAAGAAGGAAGUACAGUUGUUACUCAAAGGUCCACCACAUGAGUAAUUUGUCAGAUUCCAAUUCUGGCAAAGACAUGACAAGAAAAUAAAGUACUCAUGAACAUAAAUGCAAAAAUCUGUACUUAUAAAAUGAUAGUAUAUAAAUGAAUUUGUCAUGGUCACAUGAUUAAAGUCAAUACAUGACAUUCUAUUCCUAUAUAUUAGUAGUGAACAAUAGGAAAAUGCAAUUGAACCAGCAAUGCAAUUUACAAUGUCAAAUCUUAAAGUUAAUCUAAUAAAAAGGCCUCUAUGCUUAAAACUAUAAAACAUGGCUGCCAUAGAUAAAAUAUAGACAUGAUUCUCCUUGUUCAUGGGUAUACUAUAUUCAUGGAUAAAAGACUCAUUGGAGUUAAGAUUUGUAGUCUCCUCAAAUUGACCUAUAAACUCAACCAAAUCCUA